GAUGAAGAACGUAGCGAAAUGCGAUACUUGGUGUGAAUUGCAGAAUCCCGUGAACCAUCGAGUCUUUGAACGCAAGUUGCGCCCGAAGCCACUAGGCCGAGGGCACGCCUGCCUGGGCGUCACACGUCGUUCCCCCCCCAUCUACUCCUUCGGGAUUGCAGGGGGCGGAUGAUGGCCUCCCGUGCGCCUCGCCGCGCGGUUGGCAUAAAUACCAAGUCCUCGGCGACGCACGCCACGACAAUCGGUGGUUGCGAAACCUCGGUUGCCCGUCGUGUGCGUUCGUCGCGCAUCGAGGGCUCGAAAAAAUGCUCGGCUCCGGCUCGGCUUUCAACGCGACCCCAGGUCAGGCGGGGUUACCCGCUGAAUUUAAGCAUAUCAAUAAGCGGAGGA
rnacentral:misc_RNA from 1 species